rnacentral:rRNA from 1 species
GAUGAACGCUAGCUACAGGCUUAACACAUGCAAGUCGAGGGACCGGCGCACGGGUGAGUAACACGUAUCCAACCUGCCUUUUACUCGGGGAUAGCUUUUCGAAAGAAAGAUUAAUACCCGAUGUGAAGGACGGGGAUGGGUUCCAUUAGGUUGUUGGUAAGGUAACGGCUCACCAAGCCUUCGAUGGAUAGGGGUGCUGAGAGGAAGGUCCCCCACAUCGGAACUGAGACACGGUCCAAACUCGUACGGGAGGCAGCAGUGAGUAAUAUAGGUCAAUGGGCGGUAGCCUGAACCAGCCAAGUAGCGUGAAGGAUGAAGGCUUAGUAGUCGUAAACUUCUUUUAUAUAAGAAGCUGUAUUAUAUGAAUAAGGAUCGGCUAACUCCGUGCCAGCAGCCGCGGUAAUUC